rnacentral:rRNA from 1 species
CCUACGGGAGGCUGCAGUCGAGAAUCAUUCACAAUGGGGGAAACCCUGAUGGUGCGACGCCGCGUGGGGGAAUGAAGGUCUUCGGAUUGUAAACCCCUGUCAUGUGGGAGCAAAUUAAAAAGAUAGUACCACAAGAGGAAGAGACGGCUAACUCUGUGCCAGCAGCCGCGGUAAUACAGAGGUCUCAAGCGUUGUUCGGAAUCACUGGGCGUAAGGCGUGCGUAGGCUGUUUCGUAAGUCGUGUGUGAAAGGCGCGGGCUCAACCCGCGGACGGCACAUGAUACUGCGAGACUAGAGUAAUGGAGGGGGAACCGGAAUUCUCGGUGUAGCAGUGAAAUGCGUAGAUAUCGAGAGGAACACUCGUGGCGAUGGCGGGUUCCUGGACAUUAACUGACGCUGAGGCACGAAGGCCAGGGGAGCGAAAGGGAUUAGAUACCCUAGUAGUC